UACGUAGGGGGCAAGCGUUGUCCGGAUUUAUUGGGCGUAAAGAGCGUGUAGGCGGUUUGGUAGGUCCGCUGUGAAAACUCGAGGCUCAACCUCGAGACGCCGGUGGAAACCAUCAGGCUAGAGUCCGGAAGAGGAGAGUGGAAUUCCUGGUGUAGCGGUGAAAUGCGCAGAUAUCAGGAAGAACACCCGUGGCUAAGGCGGCUCUCUAGUACGGUACUGACGCUGAGACGCGAAAGAAUGGGGAGCGAACAGG
rnacentral:rRNA from 1 species